UACGUAGGUCCCGAGCGUUGUCCGGAUUUACUGGGCGUAAAGGGAGCGUAGGCGGACUUUUAAGUGAGAUGUGAAAUACUCGGGCUCAACUUGAGUGCUGCAUUUCAAACUGGAAGUCUAGAGUGCAGGAGAGGAGAAUGGAAUUCCUAGUGUAGCGGUGAAAUGCGUAGAGAUUAGGAAGAACCCCAGUGGCGAAGGCGAUUCUCUGGACUGUAACUGACGCUGAGGCUCGAAAGCGUGGGGAGCAAACAGG
rnacentral:rRNA from 1 species